CCUACGGGAGGCUGCAGUGGGGAAUAUUGGACAAUGGGCGAAAGCCUGAUCCAGCCAUGCCGCGUGUGUGAAGAAGGCCUUCGGGUUGUAAAGCACUUUCAGUGGGGAAGAAAGCCUUGGGGCUAAUACCCUCGAGGAAGGACAUCACCCACAGAAGAAGCACCGGCUAACUCCGUGCCAGCAGCCGCGGUAAUGCGGAGGGUGCGAGCGUUAAUCGGAAUUACUGGGCGUAAAGCGCGCGUAGGCGGUCUGAUAAGCCGGUUGUGAAAGCCCCGGGCUCAACCUGGGAACGGCAUCCGGAACUGUCAGGCUAGAGUGCAGGAGAGGAAGGUAGAAUUCCCGGUGUAGCGGUGAAAUGCGUAGAGAUCGGGAGGAAUACCAGUGGCGAAGGCGGCCUUCUGGACUGACACUGACGCUGAGGUGCGAAAGCGUGGGUAGCAAACAGGAUUAGAUACCCGUGUAGUC
rnacentral:rRNA from 1 species